AAAUUGAAGAGUUUGAUCAUGGCUCAGAUUGAACGCUGGCGGCAGGCCUAACACAUGCAAGUCGAACGGUAACAGGAAGCAGCUUGCUGCUUCGCUGACGAGUGGCGGACGGGUGAGUAAUGUCUGGGAAACUGCCUGAUGGAGGGGGAUAACUACUGGAAACGGUAGCUAAUACCGCAUAAUGUCGCAGGACCAAAGAGGGGGACCUUCGGGCCUCUUGCCAUCAGAUGUGCCCAGAUGGGAUUAGCUUGUUGGUGAGGUAACGGCUCACCAAGGCGACGAUCCCUAGCUGGUCUGAGAGGAUGACCAGCCACACUGGAACUGAGACACGGUCCAGACUCCUACGGGAGGCAGCAGUGGGGAAUAUUGCACAAUGGGCGCAAGCCUGAUGCAGCCAUGCCGCGUGUAUGAAGAAGGCCUUCGGGUUGUAAAGUACUUUCAGCGGGGAGGAAGGUGUUGUGGUUAAUAACCACAGCAAUUGACGUUACCCGCAGAAGAAGCACCGGCUAACUCCGUGCCAGCAGCCGCGGUAAUACGGAGGGUGCAAGCGUUAAUCGGAAUUACUGGGCGUAAAGCGCACGCAGGCGGUCUGUCAAGUCGGAUGUGAAAUCCCCGGGCUCAACCUGGGAACUGCAUUCGAAACUGGCAGGCU
rnacentral:rRNA from 1 species